UAUAGUCGAGUUACUCACCCCUGCUAUAAGACUCGUAGUUAUUGAAUACACACUUUAGGAAUGGAAGUCAAAAGUUGACCUCACUGGUUUAAAUGAGAUCAGAACGUAAAGGAACAGCUGCCACUUAAUGCAGAAUACGAAACUAUGACGUGGUCUGGAGGAAAGGACAAUGGCCAUGACCUUUGCAUGCCCUCUGAAACAGGUGAAAAGACAAAAGAAUAGAAAGAUCACAAAUAGAAAGCCUUUGGUAACAGAUUCGUUCGUUCAGGAUUGAUCUGAGAAUAAGCAACAGCAACAGCAACAACAACAGUAGCACUUACUCUGUCGCACUGGAACGUUAAAAGUCAUUACACUGCAGCCAUGCUGGGGCACUGCCUUGAAGAAUUUUAAUCGAAUGAAUCGAUCCCGAGUACUUUUUCAAAGCCUGCUACUUAGUCUAUCGUUCUCUUUUACCGAACCGCUUAGUCACGAGAAUGUAAACACACCAACACCGGUUGUUAAGUGGUGGCGGGGAAACAAACACAGACACAAAGACACCCCUACAUCUUCCCACACACAAACACACACACACACACACACGUACAAACUCACACAUGCACACAUAUAUACAUAUAUUCAUAUGCGUAUGCAUGUAUACGAUUAUAAUAUAUAUAUUUCGUUUUUGGAUUUGGUUUGCAAGAUUUUUUAUGUGAUUUUGUGUGUUGAAGCAUAUUCUGUUGUGUCUGGGGAGAGUCAUUUUCUUAU